rnacentral:lncRNA from 13 species
UUUAUCGUUGUAUCGUUCCGCCCCAUCCUGAAAUCUAUUCACCUUCUUCAGAAUGCUCUGUUGUGUUUCUCUGGGCGAUGAGGCAAAUUCAUUCCUACAUUAUCUGUUAAAGACUGCUAUCUGAAGUGUGGGGGUGGGGACACUAACCUUGGAAAGGCUCUCUCCUCUCUGCCUCUACAGUACAGCCCCCAUUUACCCUACAACCCCUAGUCCAGAUAUAUCUGACUGUAGCAAGACUCCCUACAACCCCUAGUCCAGAUAUAUCUGACUGUAGCAAGACUCCCUACAACCCCUAGUCCAGAUAUCUGACUGUAGCAAGACUCCCUACAACCCCUAGUCCAGAUAUAUCUGACUGCAGCAAGACUCCCUACAACCCCUAGUCCAGAUAUAUCUGACUGUAGCAAGACUCCCUACAACCCCUAGUCCAGAUAUAUCUGACUGUAGCAAGACUCCCUACAACCCCUAGUCCAGAUAUAUCUGACUGUAGCAAGACUCCCUACAACCCCUAGUCCAGAUAUAUCUAACUGCAGCAAGACACUCUAUCUCCCAGUCUGGGGGGGUUUGACGUUCAUGAACAAAACCUCACUAGCAUUUUGUAAUGAAAUAAUUUAGGCAAAGUAUCCUUGUAUUAUAUGGAGUGAUUUUUCACUACAGAAUUAAAAUACUAAAAUAUAUACACUAUACUUUUUCUGCUAUAGUUUUAAUACUACUUCCAAUAUAGGCCUGACUCCCUACAACCCCUAGUCCAGAUAUAUCUGACUGUAGCAAGACUCCCUACAACCCCUAGUCCAGAUNNNNNNNNNNUAAGUGCUGAAUGUAGGAAUCCCCUCAAGGGUUUCAGGACCUAUCUAAGUGCUGAAUGUAGGAAUUUAGACACGCAU